UACGUAGGGUGCAAGCGUUUGUCCGGAAUUAUUGGGCGUAAAGGGCUCGUAGGCGGUCUGUCACGUCGGGAGUGAAAACUCGGGGCUUAACCCCGAGCCUGCUUCCGAUACGGGCAGACUAGAGGUAUGCAGGGGAGAAUGGAAUUCCUGGUGUAGCGGUGAAAUGCGCAGAUAUCAGGAGGAACACCGGUGGCGAAGGCGGUCUC
rnacentral:rRNA from 1 species